UUUAUAAAUUAAAGGAAAACCUUCAAAUACUAUCCAUAUGGUUUCACAUUUUCUCACUUUAAUAUCCUGUGGUUUAAAGUAUAUCAAUUUAGUAUCCCGUGGUUUUAUUUUUAUUUUUUUGUUAUUGAUUCCACUAAUUUUUUUUAUUAAAUCAGUAACAAAAUUAAAACUAAAGGGUACUAAAGUGAAUAUUCGAUAAACCUAGGUGCGGUAUCUAAAAUUUUUUGUAUAUAAUUUAACGAAAUAUUAACAGAAAAACUAACGAAAAUAUAAAAAUNACUCUGGGGUGGUACAAUGCUUCGUGUACUUUAAGCGCCUUUAAAGCCCAGCCAGUAACAGAAAAUCAACCUAACAACAUUUAGUUUUUCAAUCCCAAACUAAAACACCGCAUCUGAGCACUACCUACUCCCUACUCUGUUUCCCCCUGUUCCCUCUACCAUCUACACCAAAUUGAGGUAUCACGAUAGGCACUAGAAAUAGUUGUUGAGUAUAACAAUCAUUAAAAAAAAAAAAUCAUUGCUAUAUUAUUUUUUAUAUAUAUAUAUGGUAUUAGAAUAGCAGGUUCUAAAUUAGAAUCGAUUCUGAUUUAUAACAUAUUAAUAUAUUAUUCUCUGACAUUAUAAUUAAGCGUCAGAAGAAAAACAGUUAUUAGUUUCACAUUAUUUCACCAUACUUACAUUUGAUUGGUUGUUUGUAACUUUGUAUAACUAACUUUAAAUUUCUUUGUAGAAAAACCAACUUAAAAUUGUAGAGUAUGGGAUUCCUAAGUUGGUGUACUAAUUUUUGUUGAUUUGCCGACAAUGAUACCCUCGAAAUGCUCUUCGGAAUCGAUUAAUAUAAAGCUACAACCAACCAAAUGAUGCAAUGUAUUAUAAAAAGUGACCAUAAGUGAUCUAAUUAAAAACUACGAGGAAUGGAAGCUCAAAUGAUUAGGACUAAGCUAAAAUGUUGAUUGAUUCCUUUACAAUAAACUAUAGGAGUAUGUGAUUGAGCAACUGUGUACGAAAGGAUUUUUUUUUUUUUUUUUUUCUUUGAGAGAUAGGUAGCACGCUACCCACUUCGUUUUUUUUCAUUUAGAAAUAAGUUUAGCUGGAAAUGUGAAUCAACUAGGAUUCGAACUUGGGUCUCGGAUACCAACCACCAAGUCCUUUGCCACUUGCUCUAGGGACGGUCGGUGUGUACGAAAAGAUCUUAAUUGAUAAAAAUGAGGGUUAAACAAGAAAUUAAGAAAGUAGUUGUUUUUAACUGUUUAUUUGGCUCAGUUUUGAAACACUUUUUUUCAAAAUAAAAAGCAAGUAUCGAAAACCUAAUUAUGAGAUUAUCGGUAACUUUUAGGGUCCAUUUGGUUUAACGUAAAACCAUUAAAAAUAAUUUUUCGUGAAAAAAAAAUUGAUGAAAAAAAAUUUUACAUGUCAUAGUGGGAAAAGAAAUGUAAAUUUUCAUCCAUAUUUAUUUGGUUGAAAAGAAAAGUUUACAUUUAUUUUAUUCGGUAGAAAGAAUUAAAUAAAAAAUGUUUUUGGGCAGCUUGAGUUUUCUUAUUCCGCCGAAAUAUGGCAGAAAGCGAAAACUUCAAUUUUUUUUUGUAAAUUCAUAUAUCAAUCCAAACAAGAAAAAAAAUAUUUUUUUUUAUCAAAAGUAAUUUUUUGAUUUAUUUUACGCCCAUCCAAACGCUCCGUAGUGGAAGAGCUAAGUCUUAAUUUGUUGAGGUUUAUAAAUUAAAGAAAAACCUUCAAAUACUAUCAUAUGGUUUCACAUUUUCUCACUUUAAUACCCUGUGGUUUAAAGUAUAUCAAUAUAGUGUUCCGUGGAUUUAUUUUUAUUUUUUUGUUAUUGAUUCCACUAAUUUUUUUUGUUAAAUCAAUGACAAAAUUAAAACUAAAUGGUACUAAAGUGAAUAUUCGAUAAACCUAGGUGCGGUAUCUAAAAUUUUUUGUAUAUAAUUUAACGAAAUAUUAACAGAAAAACUAACGAAAAGAUAAAAAUAAAACUAUAAAACAUUAACUUGAUAUACUUUAAACUACAGUGAAAAAGUGUAAAAUUAUAAGAAUGGGGUUUGAAGUUUAUCCUAAAUUAAAAGAUGUGUGCGCAAGAACUUCUUCAUACAAAAUAAAAAAAACAGAUGAUCAAUUAAUAGCGUAACCACCGACCGUCCCUAGAGCAAGUGAUAAAGGACUUGAUCGUUGAUAUCCGAGACCCAAGUUCGAAUCCUAGUUGAUUCACAUUUCCAGUUAAGUUUAUUUUUAAAGGAAAUAAACAAAACGAGUAGCGUGCUAUCUAUUUCUCUAAAAAAAAUAAAUAAAUAAAUUAAUA
rnacentral:lncRNA from 1 species